UACAGAGGGUGCGAGCGUUAAUCGGAAUUACUGGCGUAAAGCGCGCGUAGGCGGCUUUGCAAGUCGGGUGUGAAAUCCCCAGGCUUAACCUGGGAACUGCAUUCGAGACUGCAUUGCUAGAGUAUGGGAGAGGGAAGUGGAAUUUCCGGUGUAGCGGUGAAAUGCGUAGAUAUCGGAAGGAACAUCAGUGGCGAAAGCGACUUCCUGGACCAAUACUGACGCUCAUGUGCGAAAGCGUGGGAGCAAACAGG
rnacentral:rRNA from 1 species